rnacentral:rRNA from 2 species
CCUACGGGCGGCUGCAGUGGGGAAUCUUGCGCAAUGGACGAAAGUCUGACGCAGCCAUGCCGCGUGAAUGAUGAAGGUCUUAGGAUUGUAAAGUUCUUUAGCCUGUGACGAUGAUGACGGUAACAGGAGAAUAAGCCCCGGCUAACUUCGUGCCAGCAGCCGCGGUAAUACGAAGGGGGCUAGCGUUGUUCGGAAUUACUGGGCGUAAAGCGCGCGUAGGCGGUUUUACAAGCCAGAGGUGAAAUGCCUGAGCUCAACUUAGGAAUUGCCUUUGGAACUGUAUGGCUUUGAGGACGAGAGAGGUGAGUGGAAUUCCCAGUGUAGAGGUGAAAUUCGUAGAUAUUGGGAAGAACACCGGUGGCGAAGGCGGCUCACUGGCUCGUUUCUGACGCUGUAGCGCGAAAGCGUGGGGAUCAAACAGGAUUAGAUACCCCAGUAGUC